CCUACGGGCGGCAGCAGUAGGGAAUCUUCCACAAUGGGCGAAAGCCUGAUGCAGCAACGCCGCGUGAGUGAAGAAGGUCUUCGGAUCGUAAAACCCUGUUGUUAGAGAAGAAAGUGCGUGAAAGUAACUGUUCACGUUUCGACGGUAUCUAACCAGAAAGCCACGGCUAACUACGUGCCAGCAGCCGCGGUAAUACGUAGGUGGCAAGCGUUAUCCGGAUUGAUUGGGCGUAAAGGGAACGCAGGCGGUCUGUUAAGUCCGAUGUGAAAGCCUUGGGCUUACACGGAGUAGUGCAUUGGAAACUGGGAGACUUGAGUGCAGAAGAGGAGAGUGGAACUCCAUGUGUAGCGGUGAAAUGCGUAGAUAUAUGGAAGAACACCAGUGGCGAAAGCGGCUCUCUGGUCUGUAACUGACGCUGAGGUUCGAAAGCGUGGGUAGCAAACAGGAUUAGAUACCCCAGUAGUC
rnacentral:rRNA from 1 species